rnacentral:lncRNA from 1 species
UAAUUAGUACAUAGCCAUAGUCUUCAUUUUCAUCAUCUUUACCAAUCUCUUGUGUUUCCAUCUCUUUUUUACAAAUAUAUCUAGCUUUGGAUAGCAUAUCUGCCUUAGAAUUUUUUUUGUCAAGAUUUAUACCAACAUAAGAUUGAAUGAUCUAAUAUAGACUAUCCACCUCAGCAUAGCAAUAUCAAGAAUAGAAUAGUUGGCAAUUAUACUCAAUAAUGAUAAAUAAUUAGUUUCUAGCACCACAUUGGCUACAAUUAAGUAAUUUCUAUGUGCUUUCAUAGCUAUAAGUGAUCUCAAAAACUCCUUUCUUCUAGAUAUGCUCUUUGUGUAUCUAUGAAAAUUCUUGCUCUAAAUUUCAUAGAAAACUUCAUACCUUCUACAUUAUCUUGAUCAAUAGUCCAUCUAAUAGCAAUAAGACUUGUAUCAAUAGUAAUAACAACUAAUCUAUGAUAAUUAUAAUCAGCUUGCCUCAAGAUUGGUGGCAACUUCAAAAUCUCCUUUAGACCAUCUAUAGCAAGUCUUUAUUUUUCUCCCUAUCUGGAAUUAGUUUUUUUUUUUAAGAGACUAUAUAACGACUUAGCUAUAAGAACAAAGUAAAGAAUUGUGAUUGCUCGUUUUACUUAUUCCAAAAGAAACCUCCCAGUAUAAAUCCGUAUAGGAGGAUUCAAAUACGAGGAAUGACUAGUUCCUUAAGCGUUCACGUUAGGGUCACACAAUCAAUUACCUCCUGAAUGUAUCAUCUCUAUUUCCAAUAUCUGAACACACAAGGAAACUAUAAUCUCCUCCUUCACCUUAUAGGUCUCUUCCUUACAGCAAUUCAGUCAUACCAAUAACUGGUAUUUCCACCAAAAUAUUCACCUUCAUAAUCUCUAAUUGUAAUACUGCGCCUUCACAGCUUUCAGUCCACAAUUAUCCUCGUUCCAAUCACUAGAAUUCUUCACAUAGAACUGCUAUUCACAUUACAGUGUUUCACACAAACACAGACUCAUUCUCUCUGUUGAACUACAAUCAGAUUUCAGCAUUCAAUCUUUCUUCUUAUCAAAUAAUACCAAUCACAUUUUCAUUCUAU